UGGCCCACACAGGGGGAUAACACUUAGAAAUAGGUGCUAAUACCGCAUAACAACAGAAAGCGCAUGCUUUUUGUUUGAAAACCAAGGUGGUAUGGGAUGGACCCGCGUCUGAUUAGCUGGUUGGCGGGGUAAAGGCCCACCAAGGCGACGAUCAGUAGCCGGCCUGAGAGGGUGGACGGCCACAUUGGGACUGAGACACGGCCCAAACUCCUACGGGAGGCAGCAGUGGGGAAUAUUGCACAAUGGGGGAAACCCUGAUGCAGCGACGCCGCGUGAGUGAAGAAGUAAUUCGUUAUGUAAAGCUCUAUCAGCAGGGAAGAAAAUGACGGUACCUGAGUAAGAAGCCCCGGCUAACUACGUGCCAGCAGCCGCGGUAAUACGUAGGGGGCAAGCGUUAUCCGGAUUUACUGGGUGUAAAGGGAGCGUAGACGGCAGUGCAAGUCUGGAGUGAAAGGCGGGGGCUCAACCCCCGGACUGCUCUGGAAACUGUACGGCUGGAGUGCAGGAGAGGUAAGUGGAAUUCCUAGUGUAGCGGUGAAAUGCGUAGAUAUUAGGAGGAACACCAGUGGCGAAGGCGGCUUACUGGACUGUAACUGACGUUGAGGCUCGAAAGCGUGGGGAGCAAACAGGAUUAGAUACCCUGGUAGUCCACGCCGUAAACGAUGAUCACUAGGUGU
rnacentral:rRNA from 1 species